AUGAACGGCUCCUUCCCCGCCUCGCCUCGCCUCGCCUCGCCCCGCACCCCCGCCCGCCACUCGCCGCCGCCGCUCCGAGGCGCAGCCAGUUUCUAUAGCGACGGCGCCGAUCCUCCGAGUAGUAACAAAGCCGGCUGCCCGCGGCCGCGCCGGGCCGGCGGGAGAAGCUGCUCCCUCUCCCCAGGGCACCGGGCGGUUAGCGCACUGCCAGUUGUUUCCUGUGUGGAGGAGAAUAGGCAUUUCCUGUGCUCCCUACAAGUGAAUCUUUGCAAGAACUUCUUUUUCUUGGAAAAUGGACACCUGGCUUGGAGGAGAUGCAGCACAGAGUCCCUAGCGGAAGCUCAAAAUGGAUGACUUCUACUGAUGCUUUGUGACAAUUUCAUCUCCUCUUUUCCUGUUUGAGAUGGCUGAUAAGAUCAUCAGGAAAAAUUUCUAAAAUAAGCCUGCGUGACAACGUCUCUUUCCCUUAACUCUUCUUUUCACAAAUCUGCAAACCAUCAGACAAAAUGAGCAGCCCUCUACAAGAGGAGUCAGCAGAGCCCCAGAGCUCAGAUGAGCUCGAGUGCAAGAUCUGUUACAAUCGCUACAACCUGCGACAGAGAAAACCAAAAGUGCUGGAGUGUUGUCACCGAGUUUGUGCCAAAUGCCUCUGCAAGAUCAUAGACUUCGGCGAUUCUCCUCAAGGAGUCAUAGUUUGCCCAUUUUGCAGGUUUGAAACAUGCCUGCCAGACGAUGAGAGCGUAUCCUCAUCAGCUGCUAGUUUGCAGUACAACGCGGGGCUGUUCCCUGAGGGCUGA
rnacentral:lncRNA from 1 species